ACAGUGGACGCGAGCAUCUGUGGCCAAGUUUUUAAGGGCGCACGGUGGAUGCCUUGGCACCAGGAACCGA
rnacentral:rRNA from 5 species